rnacentral:rRNA from 1 species
CCUACGGGUGGCAGCAGUAGGGAAUCUUGCACAAUGGGCGAAAGCCUGAUGGAGCAACGCCGCGUGGGUGAAGAAGGUCUUCGGAUCGUAAAACCCUGUUGUUCGAGAAGAAAGUGCGUGAGAGUAACUGUUCACGUUUCGACGGUAUCUAAACGGAAAGCCACGGCUAACUACGUGCCAGCAGCCGCGGUAAUACGUAGGUGGCAAGCGUUAUCCGGAUUUGUUGGGCGUAAGGGGAACGCAGGCGGUCUUUUAAGUCUGAUGGGAAAGCCUUGGGCUCAACCGGAGUAGUGCAUUGGAAACUGGGAGACUUGAGUGCAGAAGAGGAGAGUGGAAUGCCAGGUGUAGCGGUGAAAUGCGUAGAUAUAUGGAAGAACACCAGUGGCGAAGGCGGCUCUCUGGUCUGUAACUGACGCUGAGGUUCGAAAGCGUGGGUAGCAAACAGGAUUAGAUACCCUUGUAGUC